GAUGAACGCUAGCGGCAGGCUUAACACAUGCAAGUCGAGGGGUAUUUAUCUUCGGAUAGAGAGACCGGCGCACGGGUGCGUAACGCGUAUGCAAUCUACCUUUUACAGAGGGAUAGCCCAGAGAAAUUUGGAUUAAUACCUCAUAGUAUAUAGACUCGGCAUCGAGAUUAUAUUAAAGUCACAACGGUAAAAGAUGAGCAUGCGUCCCAUUAGCUAGUUGGUAAGGUAACGGCUUACCAAGGCUACGAUGGGUAGGGGUCCUGAGAGGGAGAUCCCCCACAAUGGGACUGGGAACCGGACCAGACUCCUACGGGAGGCAGCAGUUAGGAAUAUUGGACAAGGGGCGCAAGCCUGAUCCAGCCAUGCCGCGUGCAGGAUGACGGUCCUAGGGAUUGUAAACUGCUUUUAUACGAGAAGAAACACUGCUACGUGUAGCAGCUUGACGGUAUCGUAAGAAUAAGAAUCGGCUAACUCCGUG
rnacentral:rRNA from 1 species